rnacentral:lncRNA from 1 species
AGCUUUCCUAUGCUUUUCCAGACCUAUUUUCAACACUGCUAAAAGGGGGGAAAAUUCAAGAAGGCACUGAAGAGACCGCCUCACCAGACCCCGAUGUUACUUCUCCUCUGGAUGUACAUGCUGCAGCUCCAUAGGAGCCAGGUUGGAAAAGUUUCUAGGAAAACAGAAUAUACAUGUAUGGCAUAUAUUUUUAAGUAGAAAGAUUCUUUUUCUAUGGCAGUUUGUCGUUUUUAGGCCCCAGAUUUGAGUACAUUAAAAAGUCCACAUUUUAAUUUGAACUUAACCUUUAAGGUUUUUGUUUUUUUAAAAUAUCAGUGAAAAAUUUUGGCUUCUCAAAAAUAUGUAUUAAAUAUAAUGAUUUUAAAGCAUGCAAAGUUAGCUAAUCAAAAACAUAAGGUGUUUGUUUUAUGCAAACUUUUAGAAAAGAAUGUUAAGCUGUUAAGAAUUCAUUAUGAGAGUAUGAAGUUCAAUUAUACAUUAUAAAAUCUUUGUCAAAAAUUUCAAGUUCUUGUAUAUUAUUUAAACGACAGUAGAUAAUUUCCAUAGUUCUCUUUUUUGUAUACUUCAGGUUCAAGGAAAUUUAUAGUAAUGCUUUUGAUUUUUAAGUGAAAUUUUAGAAGUAAUAAAUAUUCACAUGAUGAUCAUUUGUUAAGCUUGGGUAGACUCUGGAGAUAAAGGUCAGGGAUUUAGCAAAAUGAGUUUGAAAGUAUUUUAUUUUCUCUUAAGACUAAUCUCAAGACCUGAAUUCAGAUUUUUUUAUACUUUUGAAAAUAGAGCGAAUCACCAAAACAUUGAAGUCUGUUAAAUAAAAAGGAAUGAUAGCCAUUCUAUGAAUAGUGGUUCCAUACAAUAAUUACAAGUAUAAAUAAUGUAUUUAUGAUGCACAGUUAGGAUAUUUUAAAGAUGUAAUUGCCUAGAAUUAAAUUUACAAACAUGAAAAAGGCAAAAAAUUUUGACAACAGAGUCAUGAAUUCACAACUAAUGAAUACAGUUAAUUUUUAAAUAAAGGUCUAAGAAAGACAAUAGGAAAUACCCUGAUAUUUUUAUUCUGAAACAACAGGUACACAAAAAAAUGGGAGUUAUCUUUGCAUGUGUGUAAAAACUAUGUUAAAAUGCUAUUCUCUAUAGAUCUACUUAAUGAAAAUGUGGUACUUCUAAAGUUUAGGACACUUUUAGUAGGAAAAUUAUACAAUGAUCAAUAUACUUGAUUAAUAGCUUUAUCACAUUUACAUUGUAUUAUAAAUAUUGUUUUAAGGGGAUUCAUGUUGUUAUUCUUUUCUCCCUAGCAUUAAAUUAUAAAUCCCUUGAGAGGCAUAAUCAUAUCUCAAAAUAUGAUUAUAUUUUUAUCUCCCAUAAACCCUAAUAAGCUGAUUUUAAGUGUUAAUAAUUUAUAAAGUUUGUUGAAGAACUAAAUAUUCAAAGUCAAGCCUUAAAAAUAAAUACUUGCUUUAUUGACUUGUUUGAAAAUAGGCCAUCAGUUCAAACCUGUUUGUGUUUAUUAAUUCAAGGACUUUUGAAAGUCCAUCUGCCUUAAAUCUAAAGCAAGGUUGGUAAAUGUGGCUGCUCUAGUAGUUUAAGACACUGCUGGUGUAGACAGACCUAGAAUGGUGAUCCAUAUCAUAUUUUAAAAUUCUGAUAGCAAUAUCUUGUAUUUAGUACACACUCAGUGAGAUUGACUUGUUCAUUUAUCAGAUGUAUUUAAACAUAAAAUAAAUAAUAAUAAUGAAUAAUAAUAAUAAAUAAACAAUAAUGUAAAAUUCUUUUCAUCAUAAAGUAACAAACAUAACUACUCUAAAUUCUGUAAGUGUGGUAUGGAUUACUGAAAUUGAAUAGAAAUAAAACAGUAAUUGUUAGAGGGAAAAUGGAACAAUGAGCACAAUUUUGUAAUAGGUUUAGAUAUAGAAAAAACAGCCUCACCUGUUUACUUCAUAAAUAAUUUGAAUUGGUGCAUUAAACAUAUUUUUUCAAUUAAGAAUAAUGGGUCAUAAAUAGGCCAGCUUCAAGGAUAGUGACUUGAAAAUAAGCAAUAGUGACCCAAACACAUACUUCCAAUGAAUAUAGCAAAUCUGCAGGCAGGCUUUAAGAAAGAUUUAUUGUGUCAGAGACAGUUUGGUGGCUAAAAGAUAAUUUGGUUCAACCUGUUCAUUUGGUCUUAUAAUAGUGACUAUAUCUAUUUACUUACAUGUGUGUGUUUGUGUGUAUAUGUACAUAUAUCUUGUGCUUCUAUGUAUAUACACAUGUGGGUCUGUGUGCACAUAUAUACAUUGAUGUAUAUGCAUAUAUAUAUAUAUAUAUAUAUAUAUAUAUAUAUACACAUGAUGUAUAUGUACACAGAAUGGUAUUAAAAUAUAAAUGAAAGAUUAGGAGCCUACAUUUUGCUGGAGAAGGAACUGUAAAAUUUCUAAUGAAAUGAAGUUAAAGAUGAUAACAAUAAAAUCAAACUUAAGAUUUCAUACUCAUUAUUGAAAUAUAAGGGACAUGAAUUUUGUAGUUCCUGGUAUGUAUUUCUUGAUAUCAAUAGUGCUCUGUAUCAUCAAUUGUGUUACAACCACCAGCCUGUAUGUAUUAUGUUACUAUACACAUCCCCCUCUAUACAUUUCUUUACAAAAUUCCUUAAGAAUUCGUCUAUAUAUUGUCUCCAUGAGUGAACCAUCUAUAUUUACCAUCUUCUUUCACAAAACCAUAUUACUUGACUUUUUCCUGCACCAAAACAAUGCAGGAUCAUCUAUAACACUCACAUGGUCAAAUUCAAAAGUCUAAUUUAUCCUUCCUCUUAUCCUUCCUCUUAUUUAAUUCAUGGGUAGCCUUUUUCAUACAUAUUGACUAAUUCUACUUUAAAAUAGUCCUCUCCCUUGGCUUCCCUGACAUUAUUUUGUUUUUCCUUCUACCUUUUCCAUUUCCUUGACUGGUUUCUACUCCAAGAAUAAAAACUUCAACUCUUAUAUUGUCAUAUAUCCUCCACAUGACUUUAUUCAUUCUCAAAGAUUUAAACAUGUUACUUGAAAGCUGGAUGUAUAUUUCCAGGCUUGGCUUCUCUGAAUUCCUUAACUGAAUGUCUUUAUCCAGUAUAUACAAAACUGACCCAUCUCAACAGCUUUUUCCUCAGUCUUCACGGUUUCACAAAAGAGAAAUUCUAGAAUCCCCUUCCUCAAUACAAAAUAUUGGAGGUAUAUUGACAUCAUUUUACAAAGACUGUAAAUCAAUUAAGAAAACACAUUUCUGUGACAUUGCUUUAAAAUAAACCCAGAAUUAGAUUACCUUUAACCCCAUUAUUGCAAUCCAUAGUCAAAGUACCAUCAUCUUUACCCUGUGUUGAUGAAAUUAUUCUCAUAAGUGUUUUUUUUUUUCUGAUUUCAUAUCUACUUUCCCAUCCAGUAGUCCUGUAUAUGACUGUGCUGCCCAAUAUGGACCUCAGAGCCAACAGGUUCCCUAAAAUGAAGUACUUUUCACUCAUGCUUGUAUUGUCUGAAUUGUGCAGCCAGGGAAAUAUUACUAUCAGCUAAUUUAUAUUUGACUCAGGAUAAUGAAGAUUUUUUUUUAAAUUAUGUCUUGGAGAUUUAAUAGGUUCCCAGCUUACUCAAAUAAAUAGCAUAUAUUACUAGUUCUAUAAAAUAAAAAUAGACGAGUUUGACUUUGCUCAUGUUUAUUUAACUAUGUCAACUUAUUUUAUACUUAUUUUCCUAGUCCGUAAACUAACUAAAAUAUUGCUUACCUUUAUGUUUUUUUUUUAGGAGUUAAGUGAAAUGAUAAAUUUAAAAUAUUUGGCAUAGCACAUAAAUGUUAUUCUAGAUUUAUAGCUAUCAUUAAAUGAUGAAAUAUGUAUGCAAUUGUCAAUAAAAUUAGAAGAUUAAACACCACAGAAAAGUGAAAGAGAACAGAUAUAUGACAAAUAAAAUCAGUUUUGGUAUUUAGAAAAUAUUAUCAUUCUUCAAAAUGUAUGUAGAAAAGAGAAAAUGUGGCAAAUCUAUACUAAAUCAGCAUGUUCUCAGUAAAAAUCUUCAGGUUUUCUCCCUUUUUAAAAGAAGAGACUGUAUUUUCAGAGCAGUUAUAUAUUCACAGAAGUCUGGAGCAGAAGGUGCAGAGAUUAUCCAUAUACCCUUAACCUCACACUUGCAUAGCUGUCCCCAGGGCUUCAAAAUUCUCCACAGUGUGGCACAUUUGUAAUGAUUGAUGUAUCUGUAUUGACAUAUCAUUAUCACUCACAAUCCAUAGUUUAUGUAGGGUUCACUACAUUAAAUGGAUUUGGAUCAUUAUGUCUUCUAAAUAAUGAAAUUCUGUUUAGGGGAACAGUCUUAAAACCUUCAAUGACUUGUCAGUAUCCCAAGUUAUGGUGACUAGCAGAUAUUUAAGGUUCAUGGAAACCUCGUAUUUGCUUAUUUUUUUUUUCAUGUCCCUUCUUUCCCCAUUGGCUUUAUGUUUCAACCACAACAACCAUUGUUACAUCCUGUGUGAUAAUUUCUCAUGUGCUUAUUUAUACCUAGUACUGAUUCUCUUAGUUUCUAGUUCUUGCUUUGCUAAAAACUAUUCCUGCCUUAGUUCAAAUACUGAUUCUAUGCCCUAAUCUAUAAAGCCUAUGACUGCUUACGCAGAGAUAAUCACUGAUGUUCCCAUGGUACCCUGUGUGCAACGCUAGGGUAACCUUUGUUGCCCUUGCUGUUCUGAGGCGCACUGAGUUGUGGCUGGCUCCUUCAUGAGGGUGUAGCUCUGUGAAAUCAAAGACUGUGUCGUUUUCUCAGUUGUGAUAUAUUAGUUCAUGGAAAAAUGACUGUGGUAAUUGGAUUUUUAAAAUUAAAACAACUGAACAAUGGAAGUUGAAGAGAAACAAAUCAUCAUUAUUCAUGAAUAGUAAUCUAAGAUUUCCUUACUCUUUAAUCACUAAUUAUUUCUCAAAUCUUUAACCUUAUGAUCUGUAAAAUCAUUUUUUAUUAUUACUGUUUUAGUUUAUAUGUCCAAGUUCAACUUUAUCUACUUUUUAUUACUUUACAAGUAGUCUGUAUUGCUGCCUAGACAUUGUAACUGUCAUCUCCAUGUUGACAAUUGUCUACUGAUGUCUAAUAUGUCUAAUUACUUCUUCAUUAUUAACCACUGAAAUAAUUUCUGUUAGAAUUAGUGAUUUAAGAGAGGUGGUAGUGGCUAGAUACAAUUUUCUUGUAAUUUAGCCCAGCUUUAUUUUUCAUUCUUUUACUGUUCUUGUUUAUGAAGUCUAUUUUAGUGAGAACGUUUUGGUUUUCUUUUUACUUAAUGAAGAACUGAUAUUCAAUGUUGGCAGUAUUGUUAUGAUUGUGGGAAAAAAAAGUUUGUUACUUAUUUCUUAAUUAAUUCACUGUUUCAAAUCUCUCUCUUUAUUAAAAGAUCAAAUUCUUUUACCUUUAUUUUGUUUAUUUAUGUUUAUGUGGUGCUGAGGAUCCAACCUAGUGCCUCACACAUGCAAGGCAAGUGCUCUAACACUGAGCUACAACCCCAGUCCCUCAAAUCUCUUUUGUAAGAAUAAAUAAUUAAGAAAUUCUCUGGCAGAAGGCAAGUCCCCCUCUCCCUGCCCCAGCAUGAUCAAUAUUGCUCUUAUAUGCUCUUAUAACUAAAUGACACAAGUCCAGUAACUUCGAUUUGUCUACCUAGCACUUAUUUAUUUAUUUAUUUAUUUUGGUGUACGACGGGAUUGAACACAGAGGCACUUAACUGCUCAGCACCAUCCCUAGUCCUGUUUGUUUAUUUUUUUGAUACAGAGUUUCUCUUAGCUGCUAAGUUGCUAGGGUUGGCUUUUAACUUGUGAUCUUCCUGCUCAGCCUCCUGAGACAGUGGGAUUACAGACAUGCACCACUGUGCCUGGCUACCCAGCAUUACUUUUUAAUCUCUCAUUUGAUUCAGUUCUCUUUUCUUGCAUACCUUAUCUCAUAUUUGGGACACAAAGAAAUUAAAGUACACCUUUGAAGUUUUAUUAUCUUUUAUCCUAAUGAGGAUGAAUUUUUGGUAAAUGUAUAGUAUUUACAAAAUGCUUCUAAUUAACUACUCUGUUACUAAUGCCUGUUGGUAAAAAUGCACAUACUUUUUUGCUGAAGAGGAUUUAGGUAUUUGAGAGACAAUCCCUGAUGUUAAGAUGUUUAUGAAAAAAUAUCACUUGGGGUGGUGAUGAAAGUAGAACUGUCUUUAGGAAGGAAGGUAGAAAGCAGACAAAGAGGACUGAUAAAGUCAGAGGGUUAAGAUGGUUUUUCAGCAGUCUAGAAAACUGCAAUGUACUUGGAACAGAGAGAGAAAGAGAAACUAUAUAGCCAGAGUUCUUGGAAAAUGUAAUCCUUUAUUAUCAAAACUGGCAAUUUGUCCUCUUGUUUUAUGGUGUACCAGGAAGAGACUGUCAUCAUUAAGUAUAUCCCACUGCACUCUCCAACCAAGAAGGUGAUACUUCUGAAUGGUCUGAUAAGCACCACUCAGUGCAGUGCUUGACAAAGACCAUGUAGAUUUUCUAAAUUUAUUUAUUAUCCAAUGUCAUAGGAAAUAUUUGAAUACAGGACAUUUUUUCCAUAGCCUGUUUUUCCACUGUACUAUAUGCUGAUAGGUUUCCCAUGCUGCUUGGUAUACUAAUCAAAUGUCCUUUUUUUUUUUGUUAAUUUUAAGUGAGAUUACAUUUAGAAAUACAGCUUAGCUUCUAUGUCAUAGAAAAAUGAAGAUGGUAAGAUUUAUAUAUCCAAUGAUUAAAUUACUGUCAAUUGAAAAGUUGUAUUUGGAGAUUCAUUUAGUAUUUAUGGUAUUGAAAAUUCCAAGUCAUUUAUCUGAAUUACAUUAACUUCUAAUUUAAAAACUCAUCAUACAUGUUUUAAUCUCUUUUUUCUUCCAGUGAGUUAGGCUUUUACAAUUGCUUUAAAAGUUAUGUAGAGGGCCAGGGAGGUAAAACUCUGGUAGAACAGUGCCUUGGGUGUGCAAGAUCCUGGAUUCAACCCCCAGUACCACCAAAAAAUAAAAACAUAAUCAAAUAGUAAUGAGAUGGAUAAUACAUGCUAGCAUACUCAAUAAUAUCAAAAUCAAUGGAGUCAAAUGUUCAAAUUUCCACCUUCUGCCUCCAUUUUUUGAAGGAAAAAGUUGGUAUUUAUUUUUCUAGGCCAUUUUAGAAAUAAAAAAUAGAGUGAUUAUACAUAUGUUUCUGCCAUUAAAUCUUAAUAUCUACCUUUCCAGAUCUCUUUUUCUUAAUAAAAUGUAUCCAAUAUACACAUUUUUUUCUGCAGAUAUCUUUUAUCUCACCUGACAAUAUAUCACAGACUACCUUCUAUAUCAAAAUGUGCUAAUUUAUCUCAUACUUGACAGUUCCUCUUUUUCUCUUGUACACCAUAUCCAAACCAUUAACAAAUCAUGUCAGGAUGACCUUAAAGUCUAUCUUGAAUCAUUACUCUUGCUGCAGCUCUCCUAAUUCAGACUCUGUCUCCCUCCACCUGCACCAUUUCAAUAGCAUUUUAACUGGUGUCCCUUCCUCACUUCCUUCCUUCAGCCAAUUAUCUAGACAGCAACCAGAGUGACCCACUUAAAAUGUAAGCCAGAUCUUGUCAUUCUUCAUGACAAAACCCUAUAGUGGUUUGAAAUCUUACUGUAAGUGAAAGCCACAAUCCUCCUGACAGCAUGCCAGAGCCUUUGUGAUCUUACUCCCCAAGGCUCUCUGAACUCAUUUCUUACCACGCCCAGCCUUGCAAGCUGAUCUCUAGUGCACUGGCCCCUUGCUGUUUCUCAAAUAAACUGUGCUUGCUCUUCACUUGUGCCCUUUGAUUUUACCUUUUCCUCCUCCUUUUGGGUUCUUUGAGAUAUCUUGUUAGCUUGCACUGGAGUCAGGUUUCAAAUAUCACCACAUCAGAGAAGUGUUCCCCAUUACCUCAUAUAAAAGAACACCUCCCUCAUUCACUCACCCCUACCUUAUCUCACUUCAUUUUUCUCUCUAGCACUUUACUUCUGGUAAUUUUUUAAAAAAUUUCUUUCUAAACAGACUAUCUACACUGGCUGAGGCUGUGGCUCAGUGGUAGUGCACAUACCUGGCGUGUGUGAGGCACUGGGUUUGAUUCUCAGCACCACAUAUAAAUAAAAAAAGGUCUAUCAACAAACAUAUUUGUGUGUGUGUGUGUAUAUAUGUAUAUAUAUAUAUAUAUAUAUAUACAUAUAUAUAUAUAUAUAUAUAUGUAUAUAUAUAUAUAUUUUAAACUAUCUACAAAUAAAUUUUCAUGGAAGCAGAGAAUUUGUCUUAGAUUUUUACUGAUAUGUACCCAACAUAAAAAUUGGUAAAAACAGGUUCUUAUUAAAUACUUACUGAAUGUGUUAUUAAAUGUUUUGAAGGAUUAGUGAGCUAUAUUAACAUUGAUAGUAUAGUCAUAAAUGUAGGAAAACUGUAAUUUAUCUAUUUACCUAUUCUAGAUAUUCCAUUUGUCUCUAAUUUUUUCACAAGAAGAAAUACAUUAUUGUGGUUUAUUUCAUAGAAUAUAUUUUUAAUAAUGUAAAUACUAUAUCAAAGAAUAUAAAAAUUAUAAAUCUGAUGAGUGCUGACAGGGUGCCCUCCAAAAAAGUGGACCAUAUGUGUCUUUACAGUUAGAGUUUUUAUAUCCUUGGGCUUUUAAUAUUGCUUACAUUUAUUCAUAAUUCUAUGUAUUUUAAUAUCAAUUUUAUAUGUGAAUAUUAUUGAUAUUUAUUCAUAAUGCUUAUGGUUUUUCAUUGCCUGUGCAGGGAAUAUUUAUUGUAUUUGGUAAAGUGUAUUUUCAAAGAAAGCAGAAGGAAAACAAUUUUUGAUACAUGAAGAGUUUUCACAAAAAUUGUGCAAGUAAUGUUUGUUUAUAUUCAGUUGUACCAAUACUCCUAGUGUUUUCUUAAUUUAUUUUUGGAAAAUUUCAAAUUUAAUUGUGAAAAGGAAAAUGUGAUUUUUAAAACAAUCAUUGUGCUUUUACAUGCAGAGAAGCAGGCAGAACUUUGAAAGUAGGGGUCUGUACUAUUUUUAUUGAAAAAAAUAUUUAUUUUCACUUCACAGAUGGAAUUCAAUGAUUUAAAAAUAUAUAAUGAACAAAAACUCAGUUUUUUAUCCAUGUCAGUAAGUCCAAUGUUUCCCACCUUUUUACACAUUAUGCUAAUUACUUUUCAGAUGAAUGUGUUUUAAUUAAAAAAACAGUUGUCAGGGCUGGAGCUGUAGUUCAGUGGCAGAGCACUUGCCUAGCAUGUGUGAGGCACUGGGUUUGAUCCUUACCACCACAUAAAAAUAAUAAAUAAAAACGAAGGCAUUCAGUCCAUCAACAACUACAAAAAUUAAAAAAAAAGUUGUCAGUUGAAAAGCAUUCCUCACAAGUAGGAGCAGUACAAACUGUGGUUUGUGUGAUAUGAAAAAUGCUUUGAAGAAAUCAGUAGAGGAAUCAUUUGCUGGUAGCUCUAGGGGAUAAAAAUGUUAAAAACAUAUCCUUUUUCAUAGUUAUGUGAAUCAUAUUUCAGUGGGAAUGGAGUAAACAUGCCCUCUUCAUUCCUGAGCAAAUAUAUCAGCAGGUCAGUGUCAGAGGUUGUUAAACUGAAAAGUAUUCUACAGUGUAAAAAGAACAUGAAAAGAAAAUUUAAAACAUUAUUCCAUAAGUAUGAAUCUCUUCACAAGUAUCUUCUAAACUUUCUUAAGUAACAAUCCAUGUACAUAGAGAAGCGGCUAAGAAAUUGGUAAUUAGCAGAAAAUCCUCCUUUUCACAUUCUCCCCUCUUUUAGAAGCUUAUUAAGAAAUUGCUCUAGUAAAGGCUACACAGGUGAUAAUAACUACUCCUAAUGAAUGAAUUAGAGAGUGUAACUGCGCCCAGACAGCUAUGACCCAUCCAUCUACUAAACAAUGGUGAACAGAUUGAUUUGAAAUGGAAACAAAUAAUGCACCUACCUCAAAGCUCACUAUCAUCAGAUUUUCCAGGUUCUGUAAUGAAAACCAGUAGACUCACAUGGAAUUUUCCUUGUUUCUAAUUGAGUAUAGUAACAUUUGAAUGAAAAUAAAAUAUAUAUGUAAACAGCAAGUUACAGAGUUUAGAAUUAAAUUAGAAGACACAUUUUAUAUGCAUUAAUAUGGUAGAAGAAUUGUCCUUUUUAUCAGAAAGGCAUUAAAAUAAAAUUUAAUUGAAAGUGAAAAAAAAAAGUUGUCCAGAUAUACAAACUACAACACAGGAGUGGGAAAUUAAAGGUACAGAAAAUCUGAACCACGGUGAUAAGAAAAAUAUAAUUUUGAUGAAGUAAAUAACUUUUGGAGUUAGCAAAAUUAUGUUGAACAGAGCAGGAAUAAUAUGAUAAUAUGCCAAGUAUUUGGAAACAAAAAUAAGUGAAUGUUAAUAAGGAGUCAUUGAAGGGAAUUUGAAUAACAGUAAUGCAUUGACAAUGGUGGAUCAGAACACAAGAUCCAAAAGGGAGGGGAAUCUAAGAGGUUGGGGAAUAUUUGAGUAAUAAAUAAAGGAAAAAAAAACAUUGAAUAUGCUAGAUAGCUAAAGACAUUAACAUAUUAGACACAGACACCCUCAAUUUUGAAUAUUAAAAACAAAUGAAGAUACAAAAUAGAGUCUUUGAUAUUUGGAAAUAUUUUCAUAUAUGCAGAAGUGUGCUUACUUUCAAUGAAACUUUCCUGUUUCACUAUAUUGUCUAUAAUUGGAAUAUAUCAGAAACUAGGAGAAUCUUAUGAGUGAACAGUAUAAUUUGUGUUAUUAAAUUUCAGUCAUCUGGUAAUGCCUGUCAUCAUAAUUCUGACUGGUGGCUUGAAAAUUAUGGAAUCCCUGGGAGUCAAUAACCAAGUCACAUUAUAGUUCUUCUAAGUUAAAAAAAAAAAAAGAAAGAAAGAAAGGCACCUGGAAAAAGUUUAUUUUUGUGAAUUUUUAUUUAACCUAAGUAGAGAGAAUUUUUCUAAUAAUGACUCCCAUACAUGACAUCUUCCCCCCAAACUGAACUAUUGGACCUCAAGACAAAGAGAAAAUGUAGUAAAGUCAACUAAAAUGUAGUAAAGCAACUAUUUCAAGAGAGAACCUGAAGUCUUGGGAGUGAGAAUUAGGAGGUUUGCACUCUUUCACAAUAAUGUGAUUCAAUUGCUCCUAGAAUUUGGGAUUCCAUACACUACUGUCAUGGUCCCUUUUAGAUUUUAAUUUUCAGUUUAUUUGCAAGUUUUCAGCCUUUGGAAUAUAAGACUCAAUGUCCUUAAGACUCAGUCUUCUUAAAUGUAAAAUGUGGAUAACACUAGUACCUUCUUUAUUAGUUUUUUUGAGGAUAAUGGGUAACAUUUCUUAUAAAGUCUUUGUAUUUAUUCAAUAAAUACUAUUAAUAACAUUGAUCAAUAAUAUUACUACUAUUGAUAAUGACAUAUUUAUUGAAUGAUUUCAGUUGUCUUGUACUGGCUAUUUAUAUGGCAUUAUUACUGUUUGUAGGAGAGAGGUACGGAUGGUAGUGAACCAUGACUAUGAAGUGCUUGUUAUUUCUAUUGCUAAAAUUCACAGUCUUCAUUAUUGAUGAGAUCCCAAUAAUUGUACUAUUGAAAGUCAUUUUUGUUUUAUUAUGAUUAUUAAGUUGAUUAUGAGAAGGCAAGAAGAGACUUAGGGAGACUGAUUGGAUGGAGAUUGCAAUGGUGCCAGCAAGAGAUGGUGAUGGUUUCAUUUAAAUUAUUAGCAAAACAGAUGGAGAAAAUUGAAUGUAUGAUGUCUGUGUUUAGCUCUUGAAUAAAUGCCACAUUUGAAGAGGGGACAAUAAAUGAAGUAUUAUUCUUAGACUUUGGCCUUGGCUGUAUGGCAGAUUGUGGUUGUGUUUACUAAAAUGGGUAAGACUGGUGGGGUGGGGGGAUGUGAGUAGAUAGAAUCAAGAGAUCUGUUGCACCCAUUAUUCAUGAUACAUAUUGGGCAGAUAUCUAAGUAUGUCAAAAAGGCUGCUGUAUACAUAAAUUUGGAAUUCAGUGAAGAGGUGAGGUGUCUAGGUAUAAAUCAGAUAGUGAGAAAUCAUCUACCAAGAGAAUGUAGGAGUAAAACAAGAAGUGGGAAGAAUUUAUAGUUUUAGUUAUUCCCACUCAUCUGUUUCUUCAUUAGCUAAAUUUCCACAUUAUUCACAUUUUCUUUAUAAUUAUGCUAUAUAAUAAACUUUCAGAUUUACUUUCAUAUAGUUACUAGCAAUCCCAUUUAUAUCUCACCUCCCAUCUCCUGUUUCUCAAUUCAUAUUUUAAAAGGGAAUAUCUGAUGGGUUAUAUAUUAAUCUAAUGGUUCCUGACUAUUACCUUAUGGCAUACUUUCCUUCAUUAACAUGGAUGAAUUUCCUUUAUUUUAGGAACGAAUGUUUUCAAUAUAUAAUGCAUAUUAGCUAUUAUGCUACGUCACAUGUUAUUAAUUAUUAGAAUAAACUCUUGUAGAUAUUAUAAGUAUUAUGUAUAUAAUAUAUUUUGAUUUUAUUAAUAGUUGAGAACCAAAAUGAAUCUCCCAGAUCACAUAGUUUGUAUUCAUAUACCAGGUCCAUAAUUUACAAUUGUAUGUGACUCUAAAGUGCAAAUUUAAGAAGAAAAAAUUAUAGGGAUUUAAGCUCUGAGUUGUGUAGCUGUAUUUAUAUCCAUGUGUACUAACUCCAUGUACCACCGUAAGGGAGACAAAAGUCAAGAAAUAAACACUGGAAAACAGGACUGUGUCGUAACAGUUGACUUCUGGAAUCUACUUUUCCCUGAGACUGUCAUCACUCCUUCUUUUCCAGAAGUAUUACAGAAAUAAGAUAAUUAUUUUUUUCUCCCCAAGAUUGUUCAGCUUUCAACUAAAUAAUACAGACAUAAGGUCCAAGAUGGAAAACAAUAAACAUUAUGCAAUGUUUAAUUCAAAAAGAUAACUAAUAAAGAUAAAAUUAAUGUCAUAUGAGAGUCACAGUAUAAAGUAUACAAUUCAUAGGUUUUUGUAUAUUCACAGAGCUUGGACAUUCAUCAACAAAGAGUUUUAUAAGUGUUUUCAGCAUCCUAGAGAGAAAUUCUGUGCUCAUGAGGAGUGCCUGCUCAACCCCCACUUCCACCCUCAGGCAAAAACUUAACUGCUUUCUGUUUCUAUGGAUUUAUCUGUUCUUGACAUUUUAUAUAAAUGGAAUCAUAUAAUAAAUGCAGUCUUUUGUGUCUGGCUUCUUUCAAUUAGCAUAAGGUUUUCAAGAUAUAUCCAUGUUGCUAUAUUUCUAUUUAUUUAGGAUUAAUUUGGCAGUCAUUCCAAUUGCCAUAUAUUCUUCAAUUGUAUAAAUAUACCACAUUUUAUUUAUCUAUUCAUCAGUUGAUGAAUAUUUGAGUCUGAAAAUUUGGCUAGUAUGAAGAAUGCUGCUAUAAACAUUCAUGUAUAAGUUCUUUAUGGAAAUGUUUUAAAUUCUCUCGCAUAGAUACCUAGCAGUGGAGUAAGGGGUCACAUGGUAACGUUAUGUUUAACAUUUUUAAAGAACUGACAGAUCAUUUUCUACAGUGAUUGUGCCUCUCUACAUUCCCACUAGUAAUGUUUGAGGGUUCCCAUUACUCCAUGUUUUCAUGAAUACAUAUUAUUGUCUGUUAUUUUGUUUAUUGGCAUCCCAGUGGUUUUGGAGUGGUUUUAUACUUUAGUUUUGGUUUGUGCUUCUCUAAUGGAAAAUUAUUCUGAUAGCUUUUUAUAUGCUUAUUAGCCAUUUGUCUAUUUUCUUUGGAUAAAUGUCUAUUCAAAUCCUUGGCCCAUUUUUAAUUUAUUUACUUUUUGUUUUCUAGUUGACAGGACACUUACAUAUUCUAAUACCAGUUUAUUCUCAAACUUGAAUCUACAAAUAGUUCUCCAAUGCUUUGGGUUGUUACUUUCUGUAGGGUAUCAUUUACUGCACAAAAGUUUUUAAUUUUGAAGUAAAGUUAAUCUAUUCUUUUUUAGUUUGUUCUUUUUGGUUUUAUAACUAAGAAACCAUCUAAAGUAAGGUUCACUUCUGUGUUUUCAGAUAUUUAUAGUUUUGGCUUUUACACAUAGGUCUGUAAACCACUUUGCAUUAAUUUUUGUGUAUGACAUAAGAAAGAGGUCUUGACUUCAUAUUUUGCAUGUAGAUGUGCAGUUGUCCCUUGUAGUAUGUUUUUCAGUAAUAAAUACGUUGCUCAGGAAAUAGAAAGGGAAACCAAAAAUCCACACAAACAAAACUCACAUUUGAUUGGAAAUAUUGGGGAAGUUUUAUUUUAUAUAUAGUUUCCUUAACUAUGAAUAACUUUGAACAUGUAGAGAGAAAUAUUAGGGUGAGAGAAUUAUAGGAAUAGGUAAAAAGAGAAAGUAACAAAAAAAAGUUAUAAUGAUGAUUUCAUUUUUCCCCGUUACAUGCUUUGCAGAGAACCUGGAACCUGAUCCUGACAAAAUGGCACAAAGACAAUCAUGUCUAUGGGGUGUCUCAGUUACUCGAUUCAGGGCAUGUGAGCUGGUAUAAUUGUUACCCAAUCCCCUAGGGUCCUUUGGUGAAGGACUACUUUGAGGUGUGUGUUAUGGUGAUGGGCUUGGGGUAUGAGAACUGGUGCACUGCAGAAAGUAGUCUAGAAUAGGGAUUUUUUCAUUGUCAGAGCUGACAGCCUGUGAUGGCAUGUAGUCUUGAAAUUCUUUGGUUUUGUGAGUCCUGCAGUACCCCUCUGGCUUCCCAUCUGAUUCAUUCCUGAGAAUAAUCUAUUAGCCAGUGCUACAUAUCCCUAAGUUUGCCACUGAAACUUGGCCACUUUUUUGGCACUUAGAAUAAUUUCACUCAUCUUUCCUCUUCUGGCCUCUGAUAUUCCAAAAUCCCAGCAUUACUAUUGACACUGGGGAACUACUUUCAUAAGUAAACUCUUACAACAACCUUCAAAUCUGGUCUGUAAACAACAACCAAGACUGUUUUUCAAGAUGAAGGUGUUCUCCUUUGCACUUUUCUCCCCCAACAUCUUAUUUCCCUCUUUUCCUUCCUUCCCUUUUUCCUUUUCUUCCUUCUUUUGCUUACUUGUUUUAUGAAAGGGUUAGUCACAGGAAUAUAGUCAGCUGGCAGUUCCCUAGUGUUAUGUAAUAAACCCACUCCUGUGCACUCUGUUGUUGGACUCUUUUGAACUCUUUGUCUAAACUUUGAACAAAUAUUAUCUUUUUGACUCUAGGUCAUCAUUCCUCCUCCCACAUGCUUUGAAGAAGUAUCCUAAUAAAAUAGUAUAUCAUACAAACUCCAGCUCCAGCUUCCAUUAACCGAGAGUCCUUGGUGAAUAGUCACACAUCAUUCAACUCACUGUGAUCUGCCUUUCUUUCCUCUUAUUACCCAACAGUCUCAAGAUCCAUUAAAAACCAUCGUUUUGCAGUCUUGCCUGUAUACAUUAUUCUUCAGAUGAAUAAUCCCUUCCAUUUCAAUGAAGGCAGUGUAUAUCUAUAUUUGGUUUAUACCAAAAAUUGAUCUUCAUUAUUGGUUUUGAACUCUUAAGUUGGGAGGGGGAAGGCACAGCUCUAAUGGGGCAGAUUUCAUUUUGCCAGACACCUGACUGAGAUGUUGCUUUUGAAUGUCUCCCAGACAAAGAAAGGCUGCUGGUCGUCUAGCAAUAAUGAGGGAGUCACAUUUGUACACACACAGACUUCAGGAAAAUCUCAGUAUUUAAAUCCAAAUGUAUCCAUGUAUAUUUAUCUAGAACUUAAAUCCUUCCUUGUCCAUCCUAACUUUACUGCAGGAGAUACAUCAUGGCUAAAGAGUCAUCUUUCUCUACAGUUUGAUUCAUUGAUGUCAAUUCCUGAUCUUGUUCUGCAUAUGUACCUGAUAUUAUUAACACCUUCUUUGUCAGAUUGUUCCAUGAGUUGGAGGUUGGAUCAGUUGAGUAUGUUGUUAUUCUUUCUUCAGUGCAUUGAUAGCACUUAACAAUGACCAUUGUCCUUAUAAAUUACCUUUGCUAUUGGAGUGUAACUCAUUCAAAUCCUAAAUAUAUUACUUACUUGAAUGUUAGCCUCUGCCUCUAUGAAAUCCCACUUCACCACAGAAAUAAUGUUGGCAGUUGAGAUGCUUCAGAAUAGCAACGUUCAUUAUUAUCUCAACAGCAGUGGAGUACUUGGCCAUUUGGACAGUGAGUAAUACAGUUACUGGGGUACCUGCUUCUGGGAAUCAUUUUCAUGCCCACUGUCUUGUUCUAGGUCCUUAAUAAGCUAGUGCUGAAACAAAAAUUUGAUAGUUUAUUUGGAAAAUUCAGGGGCAUGGAUUGGGGAGGAAAGUGAUGCAGAAAGAAGAUGACGUCAACAUUAAAGGGCACUUUAUGAAACUGCUUGAUACCAUAGAUAAUUGGUGCUUAAUUCCACCAUGACAUUCAGGGAAAUGGUAUAAAACCUGUCUCAUUCACUAAAUUCUACUAAUCAUGUUUUGAUGAUUUUUUUCCUAGGGGUAUUAAUUUCUUAGCACUGGUGACCUGUCAAGUAUACAGAGAAAACUUCUAUAGUUUUCUUUUUUCUGUUUUUUUUUUCAGGGGUUCAGUCUUCAUACAUAGAGUUGAUGUUAGCACACCCUGAAAAGUUAUAGGAAAUGGGCAGAAUUCUGACAGCAUCUGCUUCAUGGAAGAAGUGAAAUUAAACUUAGCUGAAGUCAGCUCAUGCAGCAUCAAAUGCCAUUUGAAGAAGUAUAUGUAAACUUGAUUUUCUUUAGAGAAAGAAUUUGAUUAGCUAAGAAUUUUGCCUUAGGAAAAUUAAACUGAAGUAGUUUAUAGGAUUGUUUGGAGAACAGGAUUGGAUAGUGUUAUGGUUUGUGUACAAAAAUUCCCUGAAAAGCUCAUGUGGCAAUGGAGGACAGGUCAGAGGUGAAAUGGUUAGAUUAGGAGAACUAUAACCUCAUCAAUGGAUUUAUCCUUCUGGUGGAAUAAUAGAUUACUGGUGGGAACUGCAGGCAGGUAGGACAUGGCUGCAAGAAAUAGGUCCCUGGUUCCUUGUGUUUGCUCACACACACACUCUGUUUUCCGGCUGCAAAGAGCUUUGCAGCUUUCUUUUGGCAUGCCCUUCCACCAAAAUGUUCUGCCUCAUCUCAAUCCCAGAGCAACAAAAUCAGCCAGCCAUGGACUAAACCUCUGAAACCAUCAGUCAAAAUAAACUUCUCUGAGUUUUUCUUGUCAGUUAUUUUAGUCACAGCAAAGAAAAGCCGACUAGCAGAUAGUAUAAUGGAGAGGGCGUAACAUGAUGAUCUUAUUUCUAUUUCUAGUUCUGACUGGGACCUGCUCACAGUCCUAAUGCUAAAGCAGCUUCCAGAAGACUAGCAUUCUGAGCACACGCCAACAAUAGUAUUUCAGAUGAAAGCGAUUUCAUUCUCAAAAGAGCUGAGAAAUUAGAAUGGAAGCAAACAUUCCCAGAUUACUUUUUUUUUCUGUUCUAUUUAUAAAGAGUCCUGGGAAAUCUUCACCCUGUCAUUCAGACUUCAAUAUGUUGUUUGAGCUAAAGCACAUUAACCUAAACAGAAACAGCCUUGUAUGGAGAGAGUUAAGGUUGUCCUUGCCUGUGCUUUCUGGUAUACAGUACUGUCCAACCAACUCUUUGUGACCUUUAGCACCAUUUAGCAAAACUUCAUUCCCAGUAGUGGUUUACCAAGACAAAGGAACAGAAAAGAGACAAUGAAAAAGAACAGAGAACAAAGACAAUGAAAAAGGACUAAGCACUAAGAAGCAAAUUUUUUGACUAAUUUGAAAGCUGCUUAGAAAUAGAAGAGCAAAAACUAAGAACAUACUCAUAUGUUAAGCACUUAUCUAGUAAUACUUGUUUUAAUUUAUCAUCCUCAUAUAAAACACCAACAGGCCUAUGUCAAAUUAGUUUAACUCAGAUACUCCCUUUCUUGCACAAGCUUUAAUUUCCUACAAAUCUUUACCGACUUCACCUAUUUCUGGGGCUUUUAAAGACCUACUCUUUUCCAUUGUUGAGAACCCAUUCCUGGAAUAGGUUUUUUUCUUCUUCUUUUUUUUUUUUUUUUGGAGGAAUUUUCUACCAGUAUUUACAAUUAAUUGUAACAAAAUCUUAGGGAAGAAUUCUCCAGGGCAUGGCUGUUUGCCAGAUCUGCUUGGGUAUUUCUGUAUACACAGUGCAACUUGAGUUCAUUUCCAGAAAAAUUAUAUGUCAUACGUUGGGUUUCUUUCUGUUUUCUCCCACCUAUUAUGUAAAAGUGAACAGAUAAGCUAAAAUACAAAGUUGGGGGAAAAUACAUGAUUUACUCUGAUCUUUCCUAUUGUGUUUGCAUGAAAUAAACAGUAACAUCUUUGGUUAUUAGUAUAUGUACAACUCUAGCUUUGGGUAAAACAAUAUCAUCAUAUCCCUGGUAUAUCAUAAUCCCAUUUCCCAGUUUGCAGAGAAUAAAGAAAGCAUAGUCAUUUCAAGUGGUAAACUNAUUUUCUACAGUGAUUGUGCCUCUCUACAUUCCCACUAGUAAUGUUUGAGGGUACAAAAAUUCCCUGAAAAGCUCAUGUGGCAAUGGAGGACAGGUCAGAGGUGAAAUGGUUAGAUUAGGAGAACUAUAACCUCAUCAAUGGAUUUAUCCUUCUGGUGGAAUAAUAGAUUACUGGUGGGAACUGCAGGCAGGUAGGACAUGGCUGCAAGAAAUAGGUCCCUGGUUCCUUGUGUUUGCUCACACACACACUCUGUUUUCCGGCUGCAAAGAGCUUUGCAGCUUUCUUUUGGCAUGCCCUUCCACCAAAAUGUUCUGCCUCAUCUCAAUCCCAGAGCAACAAAAUCAGCCAGCCAUGGACUAAACCUCUGAAACCAUCAGUCAAAAUAAACUUCUCUGAGUUUUUCUUGUCAGUUAUUUUAGUCACAGCAAAGAAAAGCCGACUAGCAGAUAGUAUAAUGGAGAGGGCGUAACAUGAUGAUCUUAUUUCUAUUUCUAGUUCUGACUGGGACCUGCUCACAGUCCUAAUGCUAAAGUAGCUUCCAGAAGACUAGCAUUCUGAGCACACGCCAACAAUAGUAUUUCAGAUGAAAGAGAUUUCAUUCUCAAAAGAGCUGAGAAAUUAGAAUGGAAGCAAACAUUCCCAGAUUACUUUUUUUUUUUUUUCUGUUCUAUUUAUAAAGAGUCCUGGGAAAUCUUCACCCUGUCAUUCAGACUUCAAUAUGUUGUUUGAGCUAAAGCACAUUAACCUAAACAGAAACAGCCUUGUAUGGAGAGAGUUAAGGUUGUCCUUGCCUGUGCUUUCUGGUAUACAGUACUGUCCAACCAACUCUUUGUGACCUUUAGCACCAUUUAGCAAAACUUCAUUCCCAGUAGUGGUUUACCAAGACAAAGGAACAGAAAAGAGACAAUGAAAAAGAACAGAGAACAAAGACAAUGAAAAAGGACUAAGCACUAAGAAGCAAUUUUUUUGACUAAUUUGAAAGCUGCUUAGAAAUAGAAGAGCAAAAACUAAGAACAUACUCAUAUGUUAAGCACUUACCUAGUAAUACUUGUUUUAAUUUAUCAUCCUCAUAUAAAACACCAACAGGCCUAUGUCAAAUUAGUUUAACUCAGAUACUCCCUUUCUUGCACAAGCUUUAAUUUCCUACAAAUCUUUACCAACUUCACCUAUUUCUGGGGCUUUUAAAGACCUACUCUUUUCCAUUGUUGAGAACCCAUUCCUGGAAUAGGUUUUUUUCUUCUUCUUUUUUUUUUUUUUUUGGAGGAAUUUUCUACCAGUAUUUACAAUUAAUUGUAACAAAAUCUUAGGGAAGAAUUCUCCAGGGCAUGGCUGUUUGCCAGAUCUGCUUGGGUAUUUCUGUAUACACAGUGCAACUUGAGUUCAUUUCCAGAAAAAUUAUAUGUCAUACGUUGGGUUUCUUUCUGUUUUCUCCCACCUAUUAUGUAAAAGUGAACAGAUAAGCUAAAAUACAAAGUUGGGGGAAAAUACAUGAUUUACUCUGAUCUUUCCUAUUGUGUUUGCAUGAAAUAAACAGUAACAUCUUUGGUUAUUAGUAUAUGUACAACUCUAGCUUUGGGUAAAACAAUAUCAUCAUAUCCCUGGUAUAUCAUAAUCCCAUUUCCCAGUUUGCAGAGAAUAAAGAAAGCAUAGUCAUUUCAAGUGGUAAACUUCCAAAUCUUCAAAUAUCUAAGUGGAUGUAUUCAUGCGCAAUAGGUAACAUCUAGUUAGUCUUAUCACUUUGGAGAGAGAGGUGUCCCCUGAGGUCUCCAGACCUGAUCACGUACACCUCUGAAUGACGGUUCAGUGCCUCCUUAUCAUCACUGCUCUAUGCAAAUCCUCAUUUGCUUUAUUUUUAUUUAUUAUUGCUGCUCUUUUACCAUUCGACUGUUCUGUUGUGUUUGAGGUGAUCACAAACAUAGUUCAUAUGUAGAAUUCUAAUGUUGAACAAGGUUGUCCUACCAGAAGUCAUUCCAGUGGGACUGAAGUCUUAAAGUUUUAAUUUUAAUAUAAUUGUGAAGAUCUAAGGUAUUUAAAAUAACAAGAGAAAAAUAAAUAUUACUGUGAAGUGUUAAGGCAACAUUAGUGGGCCAAAAUUUGACCAAAUAAGGUUUAUAGAGAAUCAUGAUCUUACCCUGAAAGAUUCUUUACUAAUUAUUUUACACAUUAUGUGUCUGCAAUAUGAAAUAGCUCUUCUCCAGAUUUCUGCAUGAAGAUGAAUGCCACAGCAACAUUUCAUCAAAUGUUUUCUUGUCUUGGCCACCAGUAACUUCUCUGUUAAUAAUUGCAGUAUACAUUGAGCUCUUUAUUUUACUACACCUUUCAGCAGCAUUUAAUAUAUUUAAAUAUUUUCUCUUUUAGUAAUCAUUUUCUUCUAUAACAUGCAUAGAACAUCACACUUGUAUCUCCCAAUUUGCAUUCAUAUGUACAGUUUGAGUAUUUUAUAUUUGAUAUUUGCAAGAAUUAACAAUUCAUAAAUUAAUGUAUUUAAAUACUGUACCUUUUACUUAAAAUAUAAAAUUAAUUAUAGUUACAGCUGUGGACUAUGGAUUUAAUUAAAAAUUAGAGCAAAGAUGGAUGAUUUGACAGAAUCUGUAAGUAGUCCUUUUUUAUUAAAAUCCUGCUCAGUUAAAGGGUACUUGCCAAGCAGCCUUGAUUGCAUAUGGCCUGCUCUGCUCGGGUCACUAUCUCUCCCAAUGCAAAAAUGUUCCCAAAUUAAUUUUUCUCUCCUCCUUCUUUGCUUACCUCCAUUUUGAAAACACACACACACACACACACACACACGCACAUGACACAUAAAGAGGGAGAGUUCUAAAGCUGAAUUUUCUUGUACUAAAAAUCUUGUGCAUUAGCAUAAUGCCCAAAAAGCCAUUUGUUGUUUCUAGGCUUCAGCUAAGGCAUGGCAUCUGAAUUAUCUAUAAUCAGCUACAUUAUUCUGAUAUCUUUAAAAUAACAUUUCUGGUUUGGGAGAGUGCUAAAAGUUUACAUAUUUCUUUACAUGUAUGAUAUUUAGAAUCUUGACCUAAGAAACAAUAAGUCUCCACAUUAGUAGAUGCAUUGAGAAUUAAUUUAGAAUUCAAGCCUCGUGCUAUUCACCUGAAUAUUCAACAAAUACUAAGAACCUACUGUGAGCUUUGUAAAUAUUUCCUUGGUAAUGGGGAUGCAUUGAUGAACAACACAAAGUGUCUACUUUUGUAGAACUAGCAUUCUACAUACACUUACUUUAAUUUACAGCUUUCAUAUGGGUCAGCAUAAAUUUUCAGAUACAUUUGAUGUUUAGUCUUGUGUUUUCUUUAAAAUCUCAAGUGAGUUAAUUCAUUCUUCAGGUCAGUUCCUUCAUCUCUAAAACCAGGAUAAAACGCUUCAUACAAAUGCUAAUGUAUAUAAGUUCAAGACUUAAAUUAAAUGUGGCUUUUGAGAUAAUUAUUCUGUGCUUUCUAUAUUUGUGAAUUCCCAUGAAACCUAGCAUGGUCCUCAGGUAUUGUUGAAUAUUAAGGCAGAAUAAUUUAGAUGAAUAUUUGACAUCUCUUUAUUGUAGUAUUGCUGUAAAUAUUCAAAGAUGGUAUUUGCAGAAUUUUUAUUCAUUUGUUCAGUAAAUUCUUGACUUCUGAUAAUGCCAGUUAAGAUCUUUGGACAUAUAGAAGGUGGACUCUAUUAUCAGACAUUUAAUCUUCAUGAAUAUUUGAUGUUUUUAAUGGGAUGAUCUUUUCUUAGUGGAAAUUAUCCUCAUUGCUAUAAUAUUUUGGUUCUAUUAAUAGGAAUAAUCCACAAAAAGUAAUAAAUUUAUUUGUAAAACUUACUCAGUCUCAGCAGUUGUCUUCUAGAUAUACCACUGAAUUCAUAUCUUUUUAAAUUAAAUAUCUUUGUAGUACUAAUAAAAAAGUUUUAUGUUUGCCCAAAGUGAAAUAGAAAUGUAUCUGCACAUGAUACAUUUUGCUUCUCAUUUUAUUCUCUGAAACUAGUUAUCAUUUAAAUGCAGAGCCUUCGCUUUUCUGCUGCAAAAACAGAUUUAUGUUAUUAACUACAUGCCUAGCAGCAGAAUUCAGGGCACUAAUUUUCUAAGUUUAUGUCAGUAUAUUGACUCAAAGUGAAUUUUUAAGUGGUUGUGAGGAAAAUAUCAUAUUAGAAUAAGAAGGCCCUUUAAGAAGUUUUUCAUUGAUAGAAAAUAUUAGAUGUAUAUGCUUUAAACAAUUAAGCCACUACAGAGUUACAUAAUGAGCUGCCUGUGUGUUCAAUAACUAUAGUUUAUUUUUCUUAUGCAAGGGGCAGGAAGAAUGUUCUGAACAAAUCAGAUAGACGUCAUUUUACCAAAUGAAAGCUUCUCUUCAUUCUGAAGCAUUCUUUUUCUUAGGAUGAAUUUGAUGUUUUACUUCUCUCUUGCUCCUUUUUCUAAUAAACUUGGUUAUCUGUGGGACUAAUUAGUUAAGUCAUAGACUUAAAACACUGUGGAACGAAUUACAUAGGGAACCUGACAAGGAAUUAAAAAUUCAUCAGGAUUUUGUUUUUGUUUUAUUUUAACCUAUCUUUAGAUUAGUGCUCAUUGGGAAAAAUGAAUAAUUUGCUUUUAUUGCAUUAUUAAUUAAUCAUCUGCCAGUAAUACUAGACAACUUGAAAGGUCAUUUACUUUUUUGGAGUCCUAUUUUUGAAAUGGUGCUUUGUUGUAGACUUUCCUCUGCAUGGCUUCCCGUUUAUAUGUUUAUCACAACCACAUUUUGAGGAAUAAAAAGAUAAGAAAAAAACAUUUCUCCACAAACUUUUUUUUUUUUUUUUCAUAUUGGCAUGAGUUGGGAUCUGUUACAGUUUGCGACAGAAAUAAAUUCAGGAAAUCAAUGAUUUUAUUAAAGCACAGAGUGGAGAGGGAGGAAAAAGUUUUGAUCUACAUAUGAAUACUUAUUCUUUAGGAGGCAGAGGUAAAGAACAAAGUACUUCUGUACAGCAUUGUCUUUCUCCAAUGUUUUUGGAGUGCUUUCUGUCUCAUUCCUUCCUAUCAGUACAUAUAACAUUACUUUUUACAGAUUUUUAUUUUUAUUCCCCUUGAAUCAGCAAGCCCUGCAGCUGUGUAUGGUCCUCAUAUAGUCAGGGCAUGACUUUCCUCCCUACCAUGUGUUUCUAGGGAUACAGAGGUAAACGUAUUAGUCUGAGGGUGAUUGAUCUUUUCCUUUGCUAGUUCUUUAAGUGAGUUUUCAGGACUUUCACUUUCUUUGAAAAUUUAAUUAGCUUUGAAGUAGUUCAUUUCAUUUUGAGAAAUUAUCUGCUUUUAUCUUAAAAUUUCAAAGUUUACUAUGGAAUAAAAUUUAUAUUCCUGUUGCAUUCUAAAUAUUUUUCAAAAGGAAGAAGAUAUGCAUUUGAGACAUUUAUAUGAGGACUUGGAUAUAUGGUCAGUUUAUCAAUUUAUUAUCUAAACAUUCCUUCCCUACAAAGGCUAUGUGUUUGAUUUAUUUUAAUAUCUGUGAGAAAAGAAAGCAGUCUGAUUCUUCAAUGAUAUUUCUGCUUUAAGUAUUAAUUUUCUUGUUCUAACUUUCUAUUCUCAAAAGUAAUUCAGUUUUUUGCCUAGUUUAUUUGACUUGUUAUGGGAACAAAAACUUCAUAUGUGGGUAGAGAUUUUUUUUUUUUUAAAGAGAGAGCUCAGGUAUAAAUACACUACAGACUAUUUAGAGCUCUGUACUCCUGUCAGUUCUAAGAAACAUUCAAUUGAGAUGGGAAUGGCAAGAGCUCAGCACUAAGAUAAAUGCCCUGUUGUAUGUAUCCAGUGGGUAAAUGCUGUUACCCCUAGUAAAACAAAUAUACUUAUUUUCCAGCUGUGAAAUGUUUAAAUAUACAUGAACCACCUAAAUGUUGAAAAUAUAGGAUGAAAAUAAUCAAACAUCUCAUUAGUUCUGCUAUUAUAUUAGUCAAUUCCAUCAGCUGUUUGCUUUUAUAUAGCAGGCACUGAAGCAAAAUAUACCAAUUCCUCCUUCAUGUAUUCUUUUUGCUCUUAAUUUUUUCAUAUUUUUCAUGUAAGACUAACAGUAUCAUAAUAUAAAAGCAAUAAGCCAAUGUAUAAUGUACAAAAAAGCUCAGAAAACCAAAAAAACAAGUCAUUGAAGCUUCUUCAUAGUAGAGUAUCUUGUAAACUAUGUUCGUUCUUACAGCCUGUGUAAGUAGAACAAAGAUUUUUUUUUUUUUUUUGCAGUUCUUUAUGAGUUGCUUUCUUUGGGUACAGGAGUGGAUAUAUGAAUUAUAGGUGAUGAGUGCAAGUUUUGUCAUGUGAACUAUCUUGGUUAAUGAAAACUGUUGCUUUAGCAAGAAGGAGUUUUCCUUCAGAGAUUUUCUGGGAAAGAAUGUUUUAAGAGUCAUAUGACUAUUUUAAGAAUGUGCAUGUUGGAUAUGUUAUGAUAUAGUUACGGUUGGAUAUGUUAUGAUAUAGUUGCGGUGUCUACAGCAGGAAAAGUAAUAAGGCUUUGGAAGAUUUAUAUACUCAUGAGUCCCACAGAGGGAGUCUGUAUAUUUCUUUACUCAUGAGUCCCACAGAGGGAGUCUGUACAUGCCAUGAAAGACAAUAGAGGUUUUGGUCAGAUGGUAAAUGGCAAAACUCUAGGCCAGAAGCCUUUAAUGAGAUUUCCAAGUAAAGGUACUGCAGAGUAGGCACUUCAGCAUGGUUAGGUUAAAUAAUUCCUGUGGGAUUUGUACUUUAAGGGUGGUCUCUAAAUGCCUCAUACCCAGCCUGGGAUGAUUUAGGACAAGAGGAAUAUUGGAAUAUUGGCUGCCUGUGUGAGAAUUAGAUAAGUGGAUGUUUGGGGAUUUAGACUUGGGGUUGGUUGUUUGGCAUAUAAAAGAUCCACUUCAGCCCUUUGCAAUCUCUAAGAAUUAUCUAGCCCUGGGAGGGAAGUUUUUUCAUCUGCUCAACUCUCUCCAGCAAGCUUUAUAAGAUGCCAAAACAUCAUAGACUAUAGAAAAUCAAGCCAGAAGCCUUGGUUCUAGUUCAUGGUCAGUACAAGUAUAACAAUGAGCAAUUACUUUAACUUUGGAGCCUUGGAUUCCUUACUCGUAUCAUGAAAAUGAAUACUAAUAAGGUAUGAAAAUCCGUGCUGCUACUACUACUACUACUAUUUUUUUUUUUUUUUGUCUUUUUUGGAACUGGAGGUGGAACCCAGGGCUUUGUGAAUACAAGACAAAUGCUUUGCCAGUGAGCUACAUCCCAGCCCUUUCUAUGCUACUUUAAUGAGUAUAAAGCUUUAAUGAAUAUAAACUCAGUGUAUAGUUUCCUUAGAGGUCAUUACAUCCAAGAUGAAUAUGUAGUCCAAAGAAAUAGUCCUGUGGACUAUACCUAAUUCUUGCUUAAGCAAAACUUCUUACUGAUCAUGAAACUUGAGGUUUUUAACAUUUUCUGUCCAUUGCUUUGUAAUUCAUCUAUCCACAACUUGAUCUAAAGAAAGGGCUUAUAAAAUCAAGACAAAAAAAAAUCUUUGUUCUACCUAUGUUGGCCAUAAAAACAGAAAUGAUUUGCAAACGUAUGGUUUGCUUUACUAAGUUUUUUUCUACAUUGUAUAUUAGCAAAUUUUUUAUAAAAUGGUGUGUUAGAUUUUUUUUUCACUGUGACAAAUACCUGAGAUAAUCCAAUUAUAAGGAGGAAAGUUUUACUUUGGCUCACUAUUUCAGAGGUUUCAGUUCAUGAUCACUUGACAUCAUUGCCCUUGGGUCUGUGGCAGCACAGUACAUAGUGGAAUGAGCAUGUGGCAGAGGAGCUGCUCACCUCAUGGCAGUCAUGAAGGGAAAAGAGAGGAUAUGUGUGUGUGUGUAUAGGGAGGAUAACCAAUAUCUCCUUUCAGAACACUCUCUGAGUGAUCUAAUUUCCUUCUAUUAGGCCAGUCUCCCCAUAGUGCUACAGAUUAGCAAUCAAGUCUUUAACAUGGUGGAGAUAUUUCAGAUCCAAAUUAUAGCAAAUGGGUAUACUAUUUUAUUCCAACAUAAAACAUAUUUGAAAAAAAAUAAGUAUCAGGAGAUUAAGGAGUUAGAAUAUUUUGGGUUCAGUGACUGCAAUGCAGCUGAAGCAAAUUGUCAAAUUAAUGACAAUUAAUGAUGGUUUGAUUUGUAUGUUUAUGUAAUUUCUACCUUUAUCUACACACAUAGAAAAUGAAUUAUGUAUUUGUUUUGAAUGAAAUUUUGAAAUUUAAUCCAUUAUAUAUCUGUGGUACAACCUUAAAGUUUUCUCACAGUGUAGGCAUGUAGAUUAGUUUUAUACACUAGCUUCAACAUCUUCCCCUCUUCCUUACUGAAUUGUUUUAGUCUUUAAGGUGCAUGUCAUGUGCCUUCUUCAUUGCCAAUCCUUCCAAAACACUCCAAUUCAUGAAUAAGUUCUCAUUUGAGCACAUACUAUGUUUACUAUAUAUCCCAUUCCAUUGUUACUUAUAAACAAACCUGUGCUAUCAGUAACAUUUUCCUAAUUUUUUUUAUUUUAAAGAUAUAAUAAUAUUUCCAAUGAGAACAAGCCUUGUAUCCUUGUAUCCUCAUUUUAACACUUUUAUGGAACUUGACACAUACAGUAAAUUCAUUAAUUAUUAUCAAUUUCUUAUUAACACAUGACCUCUAAGAUUCACAAUAUAUUUUAUGAAGCUAAAAGUGUUUUGAAGUAAAUGUUUACAUUACCCGACUAAGAAUGAGGUAGAACCUAGUGGGUUCUUUAAAUAUUAUAUUUAACUCUGCAAGUUAAUAAAGAAUAAUUAUAAUAUUUUCAAAUCCCAAAUUGGGUAUUCUUUAUCUUCCUGUCAUCUUUAGACCCAGAAAAGGAAGGCCAUGCUCUCUGUCUAGAGCUUUUCGUGAUCUUGCCCUUUCUCUCCUCUGGCUUUACUCCUCUUCAUGAAACUCUAACCUUGAGGGAUGAGGAGAUUUGCCACAUAAAUCCUAUGCUUUCCGCUUACAUAAGACCAUAGAUUGUCAAGACCCCAUAAUUUAUUUCUCAAGCUCAGGGUUUGUUUCAGGAACUCCAUGUCCUGUUGAGGUCCAUCCUCCAAUGGAUAUACUGUGCAUUGUUCUGCCCGUCUCAAGUUAAAUGGAAGACCAAAGUUGGCAGUUUUGGGUAGCAGGAAAGGAGCACAGCUUGUACAUGAAGGCUUAUAGGCCACCAUAUGUACAUGGUGAAGCCCUCAUGGUUUGGGAUAGAGCUAGAGUCAAGGAAUGGAACAACAGUAGGACUGACUGAAGUAGGGGCUAGCCCUCUAUGGACCACCACAUACUUCCAUUGCUAUUCUAAAGAAUACAAGUAUUUUUCUAUGGACCUGGUAUCCCAGGUUGUUAGGAAGUUGGCUUUACAAAGUAAAAAUAUAAAAAUUUAAAUUUUCAUCUUAUUUAAAGUAUGAUUUGCUAUUUAAAAAUAUUUAUACACUUGGUAUGUAAGGCCUCAAACUUAUAUUGUUGCCUCAGGUCCCAAUUUCCAGAUAUGUUAGUAAAUUUCAUAUUCUUUUACAGUUGUACCAAUCUUGAAUUUAUUUUCUUAUUUUAGGAAAUCAAAUUCAAAUUUAGAAAUCUAAUGUAAAGUAUUUUCUCUCUUCUUGGUUAAAAUGAAAUUUAUCAAUUGCUUUGAUAUUAAGUCCAAUUCUAAUUUCUUUACUUUUCUUUCUUCCUUUUUUCCUCCUCUUCCUCCUCCUCUUUUUUCUGUCAAUGAUCGAAGAAACAAUUUUUUUCACAAACAUCACAAAUUUGACAUCAAGGAUAAUGCACAACUUUAAGUAUCAUUAUAUACUGUCUUUGAGUAGUUUCAUAUUUCUUGUGUGAUUUUUCUGACCCUUUUCUCCAUGUAAACAUCCCCCCAAAGAGCCAUGUAAAUAUUUUACUCAAUACUGUAAAAAACAUCGUGAUGUGAUGUGUGGCAAAUUGGAUAUGAGGACAGAUGGGGAAACCAGAGAGCAUAUAUCAUGGGUCUCAUUGUUUUCUUUUCUUUUUUUUUUAAUCAGAUAAUGAAUGCUUCUUUAUGUUCUUUUAGUGUUACAGGAAAUAAUUAAACUGCUCUUUAUGUAUUUAAGUAGUAUAUACUUUAUAACAGUCCUAUGAAAUAGGUAAUAUUAAGUUUAAUUUUACACUUAAGGAAAUUAGAGAUAUUAAAUAAAGUUGCUGUAGGUCAUACAGUUAAUAUGUAAGAAGGGAAGAUUCAUACAGGGAUGGUCAAUUGCAGAAACCAUCCUCUCAAUCAGAGGCUCAUGAUUAAAAUGCUGUUGCAUUAUUGCUUUGAACAGCUUCAUUUGUAUCCUUUUAAUUCACUUUAUGUUAAAACAUUUGGAAGUUUCCAUUUCACCAUUGUCGUUUUAUAAUUACUUAAUUUUUUUUCUUUUCACAGUGGGAUGCCAUCACUGAAAUGGAUGAACACAAUAGGCCUAUUCAUACUUACCAGGUAUGCAAUGUAAUGGAGCCAAACCAAAACAACUGGCUUCGUACAAACUGGAUCUCACGUGAUGCAGCUCAGAAAAUUUAUGUGGAAAUGAAGUUCACACUAAGGGAUUGUAACAGCAUCCCUUGGGUCUUGGGGACUUGCAAAGAAACCUUCAAUCUGUAUUAUAUGGAAUCAGAUGAGUCCCAUGCAAUUAAAUUCAAGCCAAGCCAGUAUAUAAAGAUUGACACAAUUGCUGCUGAUGAGAGUUUUACCCAGAUGGAUUUAGGUGAUCGCAUCCUCAAACUCAACACCGAAAUUCGUGAAGUGGGGCCUAUAGAAAGAAAGGGAUUUUAUCUGGCUUUUCAAGACAUUGGGGCAUGCAUUGCCCUGGUCUCUGUUCGUGUUUUCUACAAAAAGUGUCCCUUCACUGUUCGAAACUUGGCCAUGUUUCCUGAUACCAUCCCAAGAGUUGACUCUUCCUCUUUGGUUGAAGUACGGGGCUCUUGUGUGAAGAGUGCUGAAGAGCGUGAUACUCCUAAACUAUAUUGUGGAGCAGAUGGAGAUUGGCUGGUUCCUCUUGGAAGGUGUAUCUGCAGUACAGGAUAUGAAGAAAUUGAGGGUUCUUGCCAUGGUAAGGAACAUUUAA